UACGGGGGGGGCAAGCGUUGUUCGGAAUUACUGGGCGUAAAGGGCUGGUAGGCGGCCAACUAAGUCGGAUGUGAAAUCCCCAGGCUUAACCUGGGAACUGCAUCCGAUACUGGUCGGCUUGAAUCCGGGAGAGGGAUGCAGAAUUCCAGGUGUAGCGGUGAAAUGCGUAGAUAUCUGGAGGAAUACCGGUGGCGAAGGCGGCAUCCUGGACCGGCAUUGACGCUGAACAGCGAAAGCUAGGGAGCAAACGGGAGUUAGAAACCCGGGGUAGUCCCAA
rnacentral:rRNA from 1 species